GACGAACGCUGGCGGCGUGCUUAACACAUGCAAGUCGAACGGAAAGGCCCUGCUUUUGUGGGGUGCUCGAGUGGCGAACGGGUGAGUAACACGUGAGUAACCUGCCCUUGACUUUGGGAUAAUUUCAGGAAACUGGGGCUAAUACCGGAUAGGAGCUCCUGCUGCAUGGUGGGGGUUGGAAAGUUUCGGCGGUUGGGGAUGGACUCGCGGCUUAUCAGCUUGUUGGUGGGGUAGUGGCUUACCAAGGCUUUGACGGGUAGCCGGCCUGAGAGGGUGACCGGCCACAUUGGGACUGAGGUACGGCCCAGACUCCUACGGGAGGCAGCAGUGGGGAAUAUUGCACGAUGGGCGGAAGCCUGAUGCAGCAACGCCGCGUGCGGGAUGACGGCCUUCGGGUUGUAAACCGCUUUCGCCUGUGACGAAGCGUGAGUGACGGUAAUGGGUAAAGAAGCACCGGCUAACUACGUG
rnacentral:rRNA from 1 species